rnacentral:tRNA from 1 species
ACCCUAGUGGUCCAGUGGCUAAGACUCCAGUCUCCCAGUGCAGGAGGCCCAGGUUCAAACCCUGGUUGGGGGA